CGGCCUAACAUAUUCUACCUUUGAACAGAUCAGUUUGAAGACACGAGCCCAAAACUUGUAUCACGAAGCUGCAGUGCAAAUAUUGGAGACUUCAAUGUGAACUUCCAGGGAGACUUGGCCUGGCUUCUGAAUCUCUUGAAAGGACUGUUUAGUGGAAUGAUAAAAGAUAUCGUAAAGAGCAAGGUUUGUGACAAAGUGAAAGAUGUAAUCAACCAUGACGCUGCGAACCAGUUACGAAAGAUAACAUUGGAAGCUGAUAUUAUAGAUAAGUUUAUCAUUGACUACAGAUUGCUCUCUCCCGUGGUAUUUACUGACAAUUACCUAGAGAUGCCGCUCAAGGUAUGUU
rnacentral:sRNA from 1 species